rnacentral:rRNA from 1 species
CGAUGAAUCCCAGCUGGCUGGGAGGAUUAGUGUCGAAACGGUGAGUAACACGUGAGUAACCUGCCCUUAACUCUGGGAUAAGCCUGGGAAACUGGGUCUAAUACCGGAUAGGAGCGUCCACCGCAUGGUGGGUGUUGGAAAGAUUUAUCGGUUUUGGAUGGACUCGCGGCCUAUCAGCUUGUUGGUGAGGUAAUGGCUCACCAAGGCGACUACGGGUAGCCGGCCUGAGAGGGUGACCGGCCACACUGGGACUGAGACACGGCCCAGACUCCUACGGGAGGCAGCAGUGGGGAAUAUUGCACAAUGGGCGCAAGCCUGAUGCAGCGACGCCGCGUGAGGGAUGACGGCCUUCGGGUUGUAAACCUCUUUCAUUAGGGAAGAAUCGAAAGUGACGGUACCUGCAGAAGAAGCAC